rnacentral:lncRNA from 1 species
UUUUCUUCAUAUCCUUAACAUUUUUUAUUUUUAAAAAUCUCCCAAUUAUAUUUUUGUCUGAAUAACAGAGUCUUCUCUCUGUUUCUGUUUAUGUGUUGUGUUUUAUUCUGACCAAAGACAAUUCUUUUGUAGCUGUAAAUCACGUUUAUUUGCAACCUUUCCUUUCCCUUCUUGUUUCUUUUACAAGUUUCAAACUUUCAAAUCUCAAUUCUUCAAAAUUCAUUAUUUUUGGUGACCCAUUUGAUUUGACUUUACUUUCUGCUAAACCACCGUCACAGAUCUCAUGGCUGGUCGCUAUGAAAGUAACCCUUUUGAUGAAGAAGAAGUUAACCCCUUCUCUGUAAGUUCUUCUCCAUACCUUCUUUCUGUUAAAGUUUUGAUUUUUUGAAUUGGGUAUGAAGUGUUUUGUGCUGAUCUUGAUUUCAU